rnacentral:rRNA from 1 species
AGAGUUUGAUCCUGGCUCAGGACGAACGCUGGCGGCGCGCUUAACACAUGCAAGUCGAGCGAGAACCAGGGCUUCGGCCCUGGGGACAGCGGCGAACGGGUGAGUAACACGUGGGUAAUCUGCCCUCGGCACCGGAAUAGCCCGGGGAAACUCGGAUUAAUGCCGGAUGGCCCACCCGCCUCGAGAGGCGGUUGGAAAAGGUAGCUUCGGCCUCCGGCCGAGGAUGAGCCCGCGGCGGAUUAGCUUGUUGGCGGGGUAACGGCCCACCAAGGCGACGAUCCGUAGCUGGUCUGAGAGGACGAUCAGCCACACUGGGACUGAGACACGGCCCAGACUCCUACGGGAGGCAGCAGUGGGGAAUCUUGCGCAAUGGGCGAAAGCCUGACGCAGCGACGCCGCGUGCGGGAAGAAGGCCUUCGGGUUGUAAACCGCUUUCAGGAGGGACGAAGCCACUCGGGUGAACAGCCCAGAGGGUGACGGUACCUCCAGAAGAAGCCCCGGCUAACUACGUGCCAGCAGCCGCGGUAAUACGUAGGGGGCAAGCGUUGUCCGGAUUUAUUGGGCGUAAAGAGCGUGUAGGCGGCCAGGUAGGUCGGUUGUGAAAACUAGAGGCUCAACCUCUAGACGUCGACCGAAACCAUCUGGCUAGAGUCCGGAAGAGGAGAGUGGAAUUCCUGGUGUAGCGGUGGAAUGCGCAGAUAUCAGGAAGAACACCCGUGGCGAAGGCGGCUCUCUGGGACGGUACUGACGCUGAGACGCGAAAGCGUGGGGAGCGAACAGGAUUAGAUACCCUGGUAGUCCACGCCGUAAACGAUGGGUGCUAGGUGUGGGGGGUGUCGACUCCCCCCGUGCCGCAGCUAACGCAUUAAGCACCCCGCCUGGGGAGUACGGCCGCAAGGCUAAAACUCAAA